CAGUGGGGAAUAUUGGACAAUGGGCGGAAGCCUGAUCCAGCAACGCCGCGUGAGGGAUGACGGCCUUCGGGUUGUAAACCUCUUUCAGUGCAGACGAAGCGCAAGUGACGGUAUGCACAGAAGAAGGACCGGCCAACUACGUGCCAGCAGCCGCGGUAAUACGUAGGGUCCGAGCGUUGUCCGGAAUUAUUGGGCGUAAAGGGCUCGUAGGCGGUCUGUUGCGUCGGGAGUGAAAACCCAGGGCUUAACCCUGGGCCUGCUUUCGAUACGGGCAGACUAGAGGCAUUCAGGGGAGAACGGAAUUCCUGGUGUAGCGGUGAAAUGCGCAGAUAUCAGGAGGAACACCGGUGGCGAAGGCGGUUCUCUGGGAAUGUUCUGACGCUGAGGAGCGAAAGUGUGGGGAGCGAACAGGAUUAGA
rnacentral:rRNA from 1 species